rnacentral:rRNA from 1 species
CCCCUAGAUGUUCUGGGCCGCACGCGCGCUACACUGAACAGUUCAACAAGUCUUAACCUUGGCCGAUAGGUCUGGGUAAUCUUUGAACGCUGUUCGUGAUUGGGAUAGACCUUUGCAAUUAUGGGUCUUCAACGAGGAAUUCCUAGUAAACGCAAGUCAUCAGCUUGCAUUGAUUACGUCCCUGCCCUUUGUACGCACCGCCCGUCGCACCUACCGAUUGAAUGGUCCGGUGAAAUCUCGGGACGGCGGCUUGGUCGCUUGCGUCCGACUGCUGAAACUUGAUUAAACCAUAUCAUUUAGAGGAAGGUGAAGUCGUAACA